GUAAACACAACGAUAAGGAAGAGUACAGUAUGUCUCAUGUACGUAGCGAUUCAGGGAUGGUGAAAGCCUGAUUACAUAGCAUAUUGGAAAAUCACCCUUUAGUAUUGCGCUGAACGUUUUAGUAAGCUGCAACGCCUCAUUCACGUUAAGAAUGCUUGAGUGGAAAGGGUUUACCUUUUCAUGAGGGUGGUACCACGGGUUAACUUCUCGUCCCUUUU
rnacentral:ncRNA from 1 species